ensembl:lncRNA
UGCGUGUGCGUGUGCGUGUGCGUGUGCGUGUGCGUGUGCGUGUGCGUGUGCGUGUGUGUGUGUGUGUGUGUGUGUGUGGCUGGUUUAUUUUCCUGCCUGUGAGGCAGCCCAUAAAGUCUGUGUUUCCUCUUUUUGGCGAAUUGUGCUGAUAACAAUCACACAGAGAUUUAUUCAGAGAAAAGUUCAGCAUGGUGUGUGAAGCUGUUCAAAAGCACUCCAGAUGCUGGAGAUCAGUGUUUUCAGCUCUUCAGUGUUCCUCUUCACUGGCCUCCCUGCUGGAGAUCAGUGUUUUCAGCUCUUCAGUGGCCCUCUUCACUGCUGGAGAUCAGUGCUUUCAGCUCCUCAGUGGCCCUCUUCACUGCUGGAGAUCAAGAGACAGUCUGGGCAUCAAAGCCCCAGGGAAUUGUACUGAUCAGAUUAAAGGGAAGUAGCUGUGACGCCAGCCUCCCUGUCACUCAAGGGGCCCGCUCCACACCACAGCAGGCGUUUCCAUGGCAGCGUGACUGAUGGGUUGGAAAGAGUUAAGCAUCAGGGGAGGAGCCAUUAUUUACUCCCUAACCUUGACCUUACCCGAUCCAUAUAGGGUCAUGAGAUGACCCCGGGGUCAGUCCAGCACUGCACCCCAGGAGGCCUCUGUCUGAGGUGGUCUUCAUAAAGGGCCGAGGCAGCACAGGACCGCAGCUCUCACUUCUGCUCAGACGGCGGUCUUCUGUUCAAACAUGCAGAUUUGGACUUGAUUUGGAUUUCUGUUCCCUUUUUUUUUUUUUUUUUUAUGUGUGAAGAUGAGGCUCUCGGAAGGCAGAGCCUAGUUAAACUUGUGAGACGUUGGCAGAAAUGAUGGUGUGUUAACCAAUCCUCUGUGUCAAGUAGAGUAGUCUCUCUCUCUCUCUCUCUCUGUGGGUGACGCUCUCUGAUACAUCACACCCCUCGAGGGUGGUCCUUUCUCUUUUAUCAAAAUACAGGCGGCAGCCUUGUCCUCUGUCUGUGGGGCACUGGGAUGGAGGACUUAACGGGUCUAUAUGACCGCCCUGGACACCAGGAACUUGUCAUGAUUUGAUGCAUUGUAAGGUGAUCUUUAUCUUUGGACUUAGCUCCAUCUCUUCGUUUUUAAGAUGCUGAAGAGACUUGUGGGUGUUUGUAGCCAUAGUUUCAGAGUGGCUGGGAUGUGUGUGUGAUGUGUUUAUUUCCUCCUGACUGGCUGUGUGUGUGUGUGUGUGUGUGUGUGUGUGUGUGUGUGUGUGUGUGUGUGUGUGUGUGUGUGUGUGUGUGUGUGUGUGUGUGUGUGUGUGUGUGUGUGUGUGUGUGUGUGUGUGUGUGUGUGUGUGUGUGUGUGUGAGAGAGAGAGAGAGAGAGUCAGUUGGGGUUGUGGUUCAGUCUGAGCAACUGACGGGCAUGUCCGUGGGAGAGGGGGGACAGAUUCUCACUGCCAGAGCCAUCUUAAAGACGGCUGGAGGUUUGGAGUCUGAUUUGCAUUCGCAGGGGAUCGCAGUAGCGUUACUCUUUAGGCAACCUAUCCUUGGCAGGGUUACUCUUUAGGCGACCUAUUCUUGGUAGGGUUACUCUUUAGGCAACCUAUCCUUGGUAUGGUUACUUUUUAGGCAACCUAUCCUUGGCAGGGUUACUCUUUAGGCGACCUAUCCUUGGCAGGGUUACUCUUUAGGCGACCUAUCCUUGGUAGGGUUACUCUUUAGGCGGCCUAUCUCUGGCUGGGUUAGUCUUAAGGUGGCCUAUCCCUGGCUGACUGCACCAUGUUCAUCUCCCGAUUCUUUUGUUUUCUGUCUGUCUGUCUGUGUGUCUGUCUCUGUGUGUCUGUCUUUGUGUGUCUGUCUGUCUGUCUGUCUGUCUCUGUGUGUCUGUCUGUCUGUCUCUGUGUGUCUCUGUGUCUGUGUGUGUGUGUGUGUGUGUGUGUGUGUGUGUGUGUGUGUGUGUGUGUGUCUGUCCUUUCCCCGAAUACUCCCGCUGUGUCUUACUCUUUCUCUGAGCCAGAGAUGAGACUGCCUUACCUGUCCAUCCUGUGUCCGCCAAAGAGUGUGUGUGUGUGUGUGUGUGUGUGUGUGUGUGUGCACUGGCUGGUGAGGUAACAGGAUCGAGUCCAAUUGGAUUUCCAACCUAACUGGGACUUUGACUUGAUGAAAAGCAAAUCAAUGACUUCAGUAUCUUACUUCUGUUGAGAAACACAAAAAUGAUUGGGCGAAGCUUUUUCGUUGUAGAGGCAGCUUCUAUGUGAAAUCACAUUAUUUGAUUAGCAGGUCUUAUGGUGACCUGUUCUUGAAGGCGUUGCAGCGCUCCCUGACUCCAGCUCACGCCUGUCACAGAGCCCACGGACCCCUCCCAGUGGGCCCGGUCCCUGCCCGUGUCGGGAGCGCUCGUGCUUUAUGGCUUCAGCUGGGUGAAUUUGGCUUUAAUGGAAACUCCAGCAGCAUCCUAAGGCUGGUAUAGAUGGGCCCGCUGAUGUACUGCACACGGGAGUAGUAGCACUAGUAAUAGCUUGGCACCAGAGCCAUCAUGGAGUGCCACUAAACCACACGACAGUGAACAGGCUCCUCCCAAUGCUACCGUUACCCGUUUACUAAACUAAACACCUGAUAACCGGCACACAGUGAAGGAAAGUCAACAUUAAAGUGAUUAUUAAUAAAAAAAAUUAUGAUAACAAAAACCACACACGCCCUUUUCAUACUUUCUAAAAUACACCUGAAAAUUUGUAACUUUGACAUGAUUAUUGACGCACCAUGAAAGCACACGUGUAGAUGACCAUGAUAUAUGUAUAUAUGUAUAUCUUUAUAUCUUCAUUAGCUCUGUGGUGGCUGUUCAUUUUUUAUAAUGAUGGAUAUAUAUAUAUAUGCUUAAAGAUUUAAAAGCAGGUGUGGGUGUGCAGCAAGCAAGCAUAUGUACAGAUGAUUGCUUUAUAACAUCAUUGCGCUGUCUCAAGCAUUCCUUUACUUGUGAGUGUGUUUGCGUGGGCAUAUGUGUGUGUGUGUGUGUCUGUGCGGCGUAAAGUGCAGUACGCACACAGGUGAUUGUAGCAAAAAGAAAAAUGUGAAACAUUCAGGUCAAACCUUUACUGAUAGAUGCCAACGUCCAGGUUGCGUGUAUGCAAAAAAGUGAUUGUUGUCAUUGGCCACUAGGUGGCACCAUAUCAUUUGUUAAACAUUUCAAUCUAAUCCAACUUUUACUCUUUCUUUCAAGCCCGCCUAAGUAUUCAGCCAUUAUUUCGAACCAUUUCUUUAUUCUUGAAAGGAAGACUAUGGCAUUUGUCACAGUGCAGAAUUUGGUUCCGACAGCCUGUUUUUCAGUUUUGCUUUUCUUGAGAUGAUUCGGAACUCAUGCCAUUGGCUAUAAUGUGAUCAUUGUUCUUGUGAUGAUACCAAGUCCCAUAGCAGGCAAUGUCAGAGGGACUGUCUGUCUUUACAAACUGCCCUGAGGUGAAACAACGAGAGUUAACUAAUUGUUUUCACGCACUUGUAUUUGAGAUGAUCUAUUCCUUGUUUGUUCCGUAGUGUUCAGAGGACCAGUGGGCACACUGCAUUUGUACUUUCAGUAGGCUCAGGCAGAAACAUCUCACCAAUGUUACGUUGAAAUGAAAAGAAAUAAACAAAGUUGACAAAUUAACAAUGCUGUCCAGUUUUUAAUAUGAUCCAUACGACAUAGUUGUGUUUUUCUAUUUAGUACAUCAUUUACAGAUUAAGCUGCACCAAGAGCCGUUUCGAGCCGUACACAUUUAAUAAAGUGAACUAGCCUACGCUGUUGCGUACCGUAACAAACACCAGAACUGACUGCUGCAUUCGCAGUGUCUGAAGAGGUGUGCCCCUGCAUUCAGCGCAUGCGUAUUGGCUCUCAAACUGAAAGAAGUGUAUUUCCUCUCCUUUGGAAGGCCUGGAAUACUUCUGACACAGCAUUCGUGUAUAAACCCCUGCGCACGAGCUGUUGCUUCUCUGCGUCGCCGGUACAUUUGAUGCCCGAGGGGCUAACUGAAGUCAUUCUCGCCGUCUCAUCUCCCAACUGCUCUUCUGGCAGUGAUCGCAUUUCCGCUGGGCGCUGGUAAUAAGCUCUUUUUCUUUUGCAACUGCAAUGUUGCAAUGUUUUCUAGCUCAUCCCAAUUAUACGUUUUAUUUAUGCUUUUUUGUGUGUAAGAGUCGCGUUUAAUGCCUUACACGUAACGGUAAGGGCAAAUAUCUUUAGGCUUAGUUGCUGUGACAGUUUUAUGUAUAUUAGCGGAUCGUUAAGGCGUGAGGAACUGACCACAUCCGCACGAGAGCAGCUCACAAUUGCCAAAGUUAUCGAGCUCCUCUCCGCAAAUGGACGCACUGAAAGCCAAAAAGAACACUAGUGCAAGACUGGACUGAGCCCGUGUCACCUCCCUCACAAGCUGAACAUCAACAACAGAGCUCUGCGGAUCCAAAGUGGACUCAGGUAUUUCGGCACCAGGCGUAGUCACUUAUUGGUUUGUAGCAGUCAGCCCUGUCACUGUGCCUUUUUGCUUCAGGAGGGCGUAGACGUGUCUCAAGUAGAACUCGCUCUAUCAGAUAUGUUGGUAGGAUGUCCACACAAUGAGCCGAGACGACUGAAUCUUACAGAACUAGUUGAUGUUACACUUGAAGGAGGAGUGAAUAUUUUAGCUUGUUCAAGAUGUAUCCGUUCAUACUUUCUCUACAAGCAGACGCAGACCAAUGACGAAAGGUUAAAAAAAGCUCCUGCUAUUUGCAGUAUACUUCCUGUUAACAUGUCAUCUAUUGCAAGAAUGUGCUUUUAGGCUGCAGUCUAUGGGCCUUACUUUAAUCUGUGUAUCACACCCUGUUUAUCUGUGAACGUCCUAUAAAUCAUUUUACUGUUAACGAAAGCAAACAAUUUAACAGUUAUUGUGGUAUGCUAUUUGAUCUUUAGUCUGGUUUCGAGUUCAGCGCAUGUUCAGUGAGUUCUGACUGUGCGGUCUCAAACUAAUCUUUUCGGGAGACCUGUUACCUGAGCUAGCGGCGUGGUGAGAUGGCGAUGAAGAUUGCCUGUGAUGUUUACAAAGACUUUGGAAUUUAAACUAUUAGAGAGACAUGUCUGGGCUUAUUGUCGUGUCACUACUGGCCUGCUUGAGAAAGGAGAAAGGGGAAAAAAAACUCCAGAAUAGGCAUGUUGUCUCAUGCUCGCACACACACACAUCUCUCUGGCUUUCACCUAAAUGUACAUAUCUCUCUC